rnacentral:rRNA from 1 species
GUAGGUGGCAAGCGUUGUCCGGAAUUAUUGGGCGUAAAGCGCGCGCAGGCGGUUCUUUAAGUCUGAUGUGAAAGCCCACGGCUCAACCGUGGAGGGUCAUUGGAAACUGGAGAACUUGAGUACAGAAGAGGAAAGCGGAAUUCCACGUGUAGCGGUGAAAUGCGUAGAGAUGUGGAGGAACACCAGUGGCGAAGGCGGCUUUCUGGCCUGUAACUGACGCUGAGGCGCGAAAGCGUGGGGAGCAAACAGGAUUAGAUACCCUGGUAGUCCACGCCGUAAACGAUGAGUGCUAAGUGUUAGGGGGGUUUUCCGCCCCCCUUAGUGCUGCAGCUAACGCAUUAAGCACUCCGCCCCGGGGAGUACGGCCGCAAGGCUG